rnacentral:rRNA from 1 species
GUCAAAGUGAAGAAAUUUCAACCAAGCGCAGGUAAACGGCGGGGAGUAACUAUGACUCUCUUAAGGUAGCCAAAUGCCUCGUCAUCUAAUUAGUGACGCGCAUGAAUGGAUCAAUGAGAUUCCCACUGUCCCUAUCUGCUACCUAGCGAACACACAGCCAAGGGGAACAGGCUUGGAAUAAUCAGCGGGGAAAGAAGACCCUUUUGAGCUUGACUCUAGUCCGACUUUGUGAAAUGACUUACGAGGUAUAGCCUAAGUGGGAGCUCACGCGAACCUGUAAAACCACUACUCGUUUUGCCAUUUUACUUAUUCCGUGAAAUAGUGACCACUUUCCGGUGGUUCUAGUAUUAAGGUUAGGCGCAAGCUCGACUGAACUAAGCGGAAGACAUGGUCAGGUGGGGGAGUUUGGCUGGGGCGGGCACAUCUGUUAAACUAUAACGCGAGGUGUCCUACGGUGAGCUCAGAGAGAACAGAAAUCUCUCGUAGACCAAAAGGGGAAAGCUCACUUGAUUUUGAUUUUCAGUAUGAAU